rnacentral:rRNA from 1 species
GUGCCAGCCGCCGCGGUAAUACGAGAGGCCCAAACGUUAUUCGGAUUUACUGGGCUUAAAGAGUUUGUAGGCGGUUCGGUAAGUGAGAUGUGAAAGCCCUCGGCUCAACCGAGGAAUUGCGUUUCAAACUGCCGGGCUCGAGGGAGAUAGAGGUGAGCGGAACUGAUGGUGGAGCGGUGAAAUGCGUUGAUAUCAUCAGGAACACCAGAGGCGAAGGCGGCUCACUGGGUCUCUUCUGACGCUGAGAAACGAAAGCUAGGGGAGCAAACGGGAUUAGAUACCCGAGUAGUCC